rnacentral:rRNA from 1 species
CCAGACUCCUACGGGAGGCAGCAGUGAGGAAUAUUGGUCAAUGGGCGAGAGCCUGAACCAGCCAAGUCGCGUGAAGGAUGAAGGAUCUAUGGUUUGUAAACUUCUUUUAUAUGGGAAUAAAGUGAGGAACGUGUUCCUUUUUGUAUGUACCAUAUGAAUAAGCAUCGGCUAACUCCGUGCCAGCAGCCGCGGUAAUACGGAGGAUGCGAGCGUUAUCCGGAUUUAUUGGGUUUAAAGGGUGCGCAGGCGGAGGUGCAAGUCAGCGGUCAAAUUGCGGGGCUCAACCCCGUACUGCCGUUGAAACUGCAUCCCUUGAGUGCGCGAGAAGUAUGCGGAAUGCGUGGUGUAGCGGUGAAAUGCAUAGAUAUCACGCAGAACUCCGAUUGCGAAGGCAGCAUACCGGCGCGCAACUGACGCUCAUGCACGAAAGCGUGGGUAUCGAACAGGAUUAGAUACCCGCGUA